GACGAACGCUGGCGGCGUGCUUAACACAUGCAAGUCGAACGGAAAGGCCCUGUUCUUGUGGGGUGCGCAUGUGGCGAACGGGUGAGUAAAACGUGAGUAACCUCCCCUUGACUGUGGGGUAACUUAAGGAGACUGGAGCGAAUACACGAUAUGAGCUCCAGAUGCACGAGGGGGGUGGGAAAGUGUCGUCGGUUGGGGAUGGACUCGCGGCUUAUCAGCGUGUUGGUGGGGUAGUGGCUUACCAAGGCUCUGACGGGUAGCCGGAUUGCGAGGGUGACCGGCCCCAUUGGGCCUGAGGUACGGGCAGGACUGAUACGUCAGCCAUGGGUGGGGGUCAGUGCGCACUGGGCGGAGUCCUGAUGCAGCGUCUCCGCGUGGGAGAUGACUGCUUUCGGGGGGGAACCUGCUUUCGCGUGUGACGAAGCGUGAGUGACGGUAAUGGGUAAAGAAGCACCGGCUAACUACGUG
rnacentral:rRNA from 1 species